rnacentral:rRNA from 1 species
UGGGGAAUAUUGCACAAUGGGCGAAAGCCUGAUGCAGCGACGCCGCGUGAGGGAUGACGGCCUUCGGGUUGUAAACCUCUUUCAGCAGGGAAGAAGCGAAAGUGACGGUACCUGCAGAAGAAGCGCCGGCUAACUACGUGCCAGCAGCCGCGGUAAUACGUAGGGCGCAAGCGUUGUCCGGAAUUAUUGGGCGUAAAGAGCUCGUAGGCGGUUAGUCGCGUCUGCUGUGAAAACUCGAGGCUCAACCUCGGGCUUGCAGUGGGUACGGGCUGACUAGAGUGCGGUAGGGGGUGACUGGAAUUCCUGGUGUAGCGGUGGAAUGCGCAGAUAUCAGGAGGAACACCGAUGGCGAAGGCAGGUCACUGGGCCGCAACUGACGCUGAGGAGCGAAAGCAUGGGGAGCGAACAGGAUUAGAUAGCCCUGGUAGUCCAUGCCGUAAACGUUGGGCACUAGGUGUGGGGUCCAUUUCCACGGAUUCCGUGCCGCAGCAAAGCGCAUUAAGUGCCCCCGCCUGGGGA